GGCCUGAUGUUCCAAGGUAAUUUCAAAACGAACAAGAAAAACAAUGAGAAUGGGAGAUAAGUUAAGUAUUAUACAAUUGAUCUUGGAGAAACGAAUUAUUAAGUGAAAAAUUACAAGCAUUCUUAAGUUUUUAGAAUAUUCUCUGAAUAAGAUAGUAUAAUAUGCAUACAAAAAUUUCGAGUAUAUUUAUUCCCAUCAAUUCCCAAAAACAGAGUCAAUUAUAAUAAGGGUUUAAUUCUCAACAUGUAUUAACAGCAGGUAAUUCCCAGAUGAUAACUAUAGAAACAUGAACCAAUGCUCCAGAAUAUACCUGCAUCCCAGCAUAAAGCACAA
rnacentral:misc_RNA from 1 species